rnacentral:rRNA from 1 species
CAGUAGCCGCGGUAAUACGUAGGUGGCAAGCGUUGUCCGGAAUUAUUGGGCGUAAAGGGCUCGCAGGUGGUUUCUUAAGUCUGAUGUGAAAGCCCCCGGCUCAACCGGGGAGGGUCAUUGGAAACUGGGAAACUUGAGUGCAGAAGAGGAGAGUGGAAUUCCACGUGUAGCGGUGAAAUGCGGGGAGAUGUGGAGGAACACCAGUGGCGAGGGCGACUCUCUGGUCUGCAACUGACGCUGAGGAGCGAAAGCGUGGGGAGCGAACAGGAUUAGAUACCCCCGUAGUCCCUGUCUCUUAUAC